AUGGGAUUUCUGAAAUCAACAUCAAAGACCAGAAACUCAUGUUGCCUGCUCCUGGAAGCAAAUGCCAAGACCACAUAUGAAACCUCUGUCCCCUUUAGGGGUCAUGAAAAAAGCAAGAUGUGGAACUCCCAUUCAUUCACAAAUGCUAGGAGACAUUUUACUGUCCUUAUUUACAACAGCAAAACAAUAAGCCAAUACACAGCUAGAAUACGCAAGGUUCUCCUUAAGGACUGCUUCAUAGGGGACACAGUGACGUGAAAGCGACAUCCACAAACACGCAAACGGAGGCCAGGAGACGCUCUAGCCCGGUCUGGCUGAAGGCUUGGAGGGGGUGGGCUGCUGUAACAGCGCAGGCUUCAGCUUUACAGACCUCGUUGAACACAAACAGGGCAUCCCCAGGCUCCGGGAAACAGGCAGGCUGAUAGAAGGCCAGUGAUUGAUAAGUCUCCCCUGCUAGCACUUCGACAGCUCAUGUCGAGGAUCCAGUGAGUUUCGUAUCAAAUGUAUCAACUGCUCGCCAAAACAGCUCUUAUUUCAAUGACUACCCCCCUCCACCCCAUUCCCCCUCCCUGUCGCCAUUGCCAAUACAUCAAAACUCCCAUUCAGCCUCUCCAUUUGUUAUCCGCAUCUAUUUCCUGUCAAUAUAGUGUCAGUAAUAAAUCAUGUCCUGAUAAUGAUGGAAAACCA
rnacentral:lncRNA from 1 species